CUUCCUCAAGGAUUUAAAAACUCCCCCACCAUUUUGGACGAAGCUUUGUAUGAGGACUUGGGCUGGACAGAGGCUUUCCCCACCAAGCACGAAACAGCUCAGACUAUGGCCAAAAAGCUUUUAGAAGACAUCCUACCAAGAGGUAUUCAGCUGAUCCACAAGGACAUUUGGCCCAAAUUGAGAGCCCUGUAUGAGUCUGGACCGCCUCCUGAGCCCCACUGCUCUCAAGGUUGACGGGGUAGCCACCUGGGUGCACUACACGCACGUCCGGCCAGCGGAUCCCUCCGCGGUUUCAGAAGACUUCAUCCCAACAUGGCAGGUGCCCAGAAAUGAGGACAACCCCUUAGAACUCAAGUUCAAUCGUACAUGAUCUGGAUGCUGAUUGCCUCCUGCUGCACACAAGGAAG
rnacentral:lncRNA from 1 species